rnacentral:rRNA from 1 species
UACGAAGGGGGCUAGCGUUGCUCGGAAUCACUGGGCGUAAAGGGUGCGUAGGCGGGUCUUUAAGUCAGGGGUGAAAUCCUGGAGCUCAACUCCAGAACUGCCUUUGAUACUGAGGAUCUUGAGUUCGGGAGAGGUGAGUGGAACUGCGAGUGUAGAGGUGAAAUUCGUAGAUAUCGCAAGAACACCAGUGGCGAAGGCGGCUCACUG